GCCUUCGUGGUGUAGUGGUCAGCCCGCUCGACGCGUAAGAAGUCCGCGGUUCGAGUCCCGGCGAGGGCA
rnacentral:tRNA from 1 species